UCUUCUAAAACUCUGUCGUGCUCUUCAUCAUUACAUUAAGAAAAAUACAUUUCAAGCCAGCUGUGGCUCUUUGUCAGGUAAAGAAGAGGAGUCUGCACAUGAACUGGAUGUUGCUACAGAUGUAUAGUAACAUAUGGCAAAGUCAUCUGGCUGAGAGGAGGAAGCAAAAAGCCUCUAAAGACUCUUGUUUGGUGUCCUGUUUUCCUGUAGAUACAGAAGUGUGGGCGCUCUGUCCUCUCUGAGCCACAAAAGUGAUGCAAAUGCAAAAUAAGUGCAUCUACUUUAACCAAGAACUUCGACUUUACCUGAGAAUCUCAGCGAGUCGAGGCCAAUCUGAGGACGUCUGCGCUCGGCAGAAAGAGAUGAUGUCAUCCUCUUUCAGCGCCGGCGGGCAGCACUGGUGCUAUCACACAACAGAGACGCUGUGGUUUACACGAUGCUGCCUCUUUUUAAGACAGGCAGAGAGUGCGCCGCCACCUCAGCUGCCUCCUAUUGUUUCAAAAUGGGACUCUAAACUUGGGUCCUUAACAGAUAAACAAAAUGAAAAGCAGCUGAUGAAAAGGUGGGGAGAUGAAAGAUGCGAGUGGAGGACAUGAGAUGCAAAUCUCAAACUUAUUUUUCACAUAACCCUUGUUAUACUUUACUUGCAUGUGUGAAGUGAGGACAUGGUAGCCUUGUUUGAGCGUGCAAGUGUGCCUUUGUAUCUUCACACAAUAUGUCAUAAUGAGGUAUUCUAAGGUAAGCCGUGAUUAUGGCACAAUAAGGAAUCAGAAAAACACUUAGCUUUAAUAAACAAGAAUAAAAACAAAAGCUUCUUUGUUCUGAAACAGCAGCAACAGAAGCACUGAUGAAAGGUUAUCUGAGGAUAAUAUUUCCCACAGUGUGGGACACCAGUGCACUGUGAUCCAUCAUUGGUUAUUAAAUGGAAAGUAUAUUGAGAAAUA